rnacentral:rRNA from 1 species
GGGUUGUGAGGUUAAGCGACUAAGCGUACACGGUGGAUGCCCUGGCAGUCAGAGGCGAUGAAGGACGUGCUAAUCUGCGAAAAGCGCCGGCGAGGUGAUAUGAACCUUUGACCCGGCGAUGUCCGAAUGGGGAAACCCAGUGUGAUUCGUCACACUAUCGUUAACUGAAUACAUAGGUUAACGAGGCGAACCGGGGGAACUGAAACAUCUAAGUACCCCGAGGAAAAGAAAUCAACCGAGAUUCCCCCAGUAGCGGCGAGCGAACGGGGAGCAGCCCAGAGUCUGAAUCAGCUUGUGUGUUAGUGGAAGCGUCUGGAAAGUCGCACGGUACAGGGUGACAGUCCCGUACACGAAAGCACACAGGUUGUGAACUCGAAGAGUAGGGCGGGACACGUGGUAUCCUGUCUGAAUAUGGGGGGACCAUCCUCCAAGGCUAAAUACUCCUGACUGACCGAUAGUGAACCAGUACCGUGAGGGAAAGGCGAAAAGAACCCCGGCGAGGGGAGUGAAAAAGAACCUGAAACCGUGUACGUACAAGCAGUGGGAGCACCUUCGUGGUGUGACUGCGUACCUUUUGUAUAAUGGGUCAGCGACUUAUAUUCUGUAGCAAGGUUAACCGUAUAGGGGAGCCGAAGGGAAACCGAGUCUUAACUGGGCGUUAAGUUGCAGGGUAUAGACCCGAAACCCGGUGAUCUAGCCAUGGGCAGGUUGAAGGUUGGGUAACACUAACUGGAGGACCGAACCGACUAAUGUUGAAAAAUUAGCGGAUGACUUGUGGCUGGGGGUGAAAGGCCAAUCAAACCGGGAGAUAGCUGGUUCUCCCCGAAAGCUAUUUAGGUAGCGCCUCGUGAACUCAUCUUCGGGGGUAGAGCACUGUUUCGGCUAGGGGGCCAUCCCGGCUUACCAACCCGAUGCAAACUACGAAUACCGAAGAAUGUUAUCACGGGAGACACACGGCGGGUGCUAACGUCCGUCGUGAAGAGGGAAACAACCCAGACCGCCAGCUAAGGUCCCAAAGUCAUGGUUAAGUGGGAAACGAUGUGGGAAGGCACAGACAGCCAGGAUGUUGGCUUAGAAGCAGCCAUCAUUUAAAGAAAGCGUAAUAGCUCACUGGUCGAGUCGGCCUGCGCGGAAGAUGUAACGGGGCUAAACCAUGCACCGAAGCUGCGGCAGCGACGCUUAUGCGUUGUUGGGUAGGGGAGCGUUCUGUAAGCCGUUGAAGGUGGCCUGUGAGGGUUGCUGGAGGUAUCAGAAGUGCGAAUGCUGACAUAAGUAACGAUAAAGCGGGUGAAAAGCCCGCUCGCCGGAAGACCAAGGGUUCCUGUCCAACGUUAAUCGGGGCAGGGUGAGUCGACCCCUAAGGCGAGGCCGAAAGGCGUAGUCGAUGGGAAACAGGUUAAUAUUCCUGUACUUGGUGUUGCUGCGAAGGGGGGACGGAGAAGGCUAUGUUAGCCGGGCGACGGUUGUCCCGGUUUAAGCAUGUAGGCGGAGGUUCCAGGUAAAUCCGGUACCUUUUAACGCUGAGGUGUGAUGACGAGGCACUACGGUGCUGAAGUAACAAAUGCCCUGCUUCCAGGAAAAGCCUCUAAGCAUCAGGUAACACGAAAUCGUACCCCAAACCGACACAGGUGGUCAGGUAGAGAAUACCAAGGCGCUUGAGAGAACUCGGGUGAAGGAACUAGGCAAAAUGGUGCCGUAACUUCGGGAGAAGGCACGCUGAUAUGUAGGUGAAGCCCCUGCGGGUGGAGCUGAAAUCAGUCGAAGAUACCAGCUGGCUGCAACUGUUUAUUAAAAACACAGCACUGUGCAAACACGAAAGUGGACGUAUACGGUGUGACGCCUGCCCGGUGCCGGAAGGUUAAUUGAUGGGGUUAGCGGCAACGCGAAGCUCUUGAUCGAAGCCCCGGUAAACGGCGGCCGUAACUAUAACGGUCCUAAGGUAGCGAAAUUCCUUGUCGGGUAAGUUCCGACCUGCACGAAUGGCGUAAUGAUGGCCAGGCUGUCUCCACCCGAGACUCAGUGAAAUUGAACUCGCUGUGAAGAUGCAGUGUACCCGCGGCAAGACGGAAAGACCCCGUGAACCUUUACUAUAGCUUGACACUGAACACUGGUCCUUGAUGUGUAGGAUAGGUGGGAGGCUUUGAAGCGUGGACGCCAGUCUGCGUGGAGCCGUCCUUGAAAUACCACCCUUUAAUGGCUGGUGUUCUAACGUAGACCCGUGAUCCGGGUUGCGGACAGUGUCUGGUGGGUAGUUUGACUGGGGCGGUCUCCUCCCAAAGAGUAACGGAGGAGCACGAAGGUUAGCUAAUCCUGGUCGGACAUCAGGAGGUUAGUGCAAUGGCAUAAGCUAGCUUGACUGCGAGAGUGACGGCUCGAGCAGGUGCGAAAGCAGGUCAUAGUGAUCCGGUGGUUCUGAAUGGAAGGGCCAUCGCUCAACGGAUAAAAGGUACUCCGGGGAUAACAGGCUGAUACCGCCCAAGAGUUCAUAUCGACGGCGGUGUUUGGCACCUCGAUGUCGGCUCAUCACAUCCUGGGGCUGAAGUAGGUCCCAAGGGUAUGGCUGUUCGCCAUUUAAAGUGGUACGCGAGCUGGGUUUAGAACGUCGUGAGACAGUUCGGUCCCUAUCUGCCGUGGGCGCUGGAGAAUUGAGGGGGGCUGCUCCUAGUACGAGAGGACCGGAGUGGACGCAUCACUGGUGUUCGGGUUGUCAUGCCAAUGGCACUGCCCGGUAGCUAAAUGCGGAAAAGAUAAGUGCUGAAAGCAUCUAAGCACGAAACUUGCCCCGAGAUGAGUUCUCCCUGACUCUUUAAGAGUCCUGAAGGAACGUUGAAGACGACGACGUUGAUAGGUCGGGUGUGUAAGCGCAGCGAUGCGUUGAGCUAACCGAUACUAAUGAACCGUGAGGCUUAACCUUACAACGCCGAAG